CUGCAGCCAGUUAAGGUAAUCCAGUUCUUUUUCUCAGGAGGACCUGGUAUGCAAUGGCUGCAGGCAGCAUUCCUUGGGAAUGCAUGCAGCCUGUUGCUUGUAUGAGUUCUCUUAAGUAACCUUGAAGGACAUUU